GAUGAACGCUGGCGGCGUGCCUAAUACAUGCAAGUCGAGCGAACAGACGAGGAGCUUGCUCCUCUGACGUUAGCGGCGGACGGGUGAGUAACACGUGGAUAACCUACCUAUAAGACUGGGAUAACUUCGGGAAACCGGAGCUAAUACCGGAUAAUAUAUUGAACCGCAUGGUUCAAUAGUGAAAGACGGUUUUGCUGUCACUUAUAGAUGGAUCCGCGCCGCAUUAGCUAGUUGGUAAGGUAACGGCUUACCAAGGCAACGAUGCGUAGCCGACCUGAGAGGGUGAUCGGCCACACUGGAACUGAGACACGGCCCAGACUCCUACGGGAGGCAGCAGUAGGGAAUCUUCCGCAAUGGGCGAAAGCCUGACGGAGCAACGCCGCGUGAGUGAUGAAGGUCUUCGGAUCGUAAAACUCUGUUAUUAGGGAAGAACAAAUGUGUAAGUAACUAUGAACGUCUUGACGGUACCUAAUCAGAAAGCCACGGCUAACUACGUG
rnacentral:rRNA from 1 species